UUGCCCCUACGGGGCGCAGCAGUGGGGAAUAUUGCGCAAUGGGGGGAACCCUGACGCAGCAACGCCGCGUGCAGGAAGAAGGUCUUCGGAUUGUAAACUGUUGUCGCAAGGGAAGAAGACAGUGACGGUACCUUGUGAGAAAGUCACGGCUAACUACGUGCCAGCAGCCGCGGUAAUACGUAGGUGACAAGCGUUGUCCGGAUUUACUGGGUGUAGAGGGCGCGUAGGCGGGAUAGCAAGUCAGUCGUGAAAUGCCGAGGCUUAACCUCGGAGCUGCGAUUGAAACUGUUAUUCUCGAGGAUCGG
rnacentral:rRNA from 1 species